rnacentral:lncRNA from 1 species
GUGACUUGGUUUCCUUCUCCAUUCAUUGUAACUGUUUUUCUCUCUCUUUUGCAGUUAAAUAAGCAAAGGAUUUGUGGGCUCUCGUGUGUCUGCAGCAAGACCAAACUGUAACUUGGCAAGGAAGCCUGCUCAGAUAAAUAAAAUACAGGCUAUCCUGUCAAAAGCUUGCAUGAUGUGCCUAUGACACCUGUUCGGCCCUGCUAAGGACCUCUGUGAAGACCACCUCACCUUUCUCCCGGCCCCUCUCCAGCCCUGCUAAGGACCUCUGUGAAGACCACCUCACCUUUCUCCCGGACCCUCUCCAGCCCUGCUAAGGACCUCUGUGAAGACCACCUCACCUUUCUCCCGGACCCUCUCCAGCCCUGCUAAGUACCACCUCCCCUUUCUCCCGGCCCCUCUCCAGCCCUGCUAAGGACCUCUGUGAAAACCACCUCACCUUUCUCCCGGACCCCUCUGCUACAGCCUAUAUGAAG